rnacentral:rRNA from 1 species
UGACCUCGGAUCAGGUAGGGAUACCGCUGAACUUAAG